AUUGAACGCUGGCGGAAUGCUUUACACAUGCAAGUCGAACGGCAGCACGGACUUCGGUCUGGUGGCGAGUGGCGAACGGGUGAGUAAUGUAUCGGAACGUGCCCAGUCGUGGGGGAUAACGUAGUGAAAAUUACGCUAAUACCGCAUACGAUCUAUGGAUGAAAGCGGGGGAUCGCAAGACCUCGCGCGAUUGGAGCGGCCGCUGUCAGAUUAGGUAGUUGGUGGGGUAAAGGCCCACCAAGCCAACGAUCUGUAGCUGGUCUGAGAGGACGACCAGCCACACUGGAACUGCGACACGGUCCAGACUCCUACGGAGGCAGCAGUUGGGAAUUUUGGACCAUGGGCGAAAGCCUGUUCCAGCCAUGCCGCGUGCAGGAUGAAGGCCCUCGGGUUGUAAACUGCUUUUGUACAGAACGAAAAGGUUUCUACUAAUACUAGGAGCUCAUGACGGUACUGUAAGAAUAAGCACCGGCUAACUACGUGCCAGCCGCCGCGGUAA
rnacentral:rRNA from 1 species